GCCUGGGUGGCUCAGUUGGUUGAGUGUCAGACUUCAGCUCAGGUCAUGAUCUCAUGGCUUGUGGGUUCAAGCCCCAUGUGAGGCU
rfam:Felis catus isolate Cinnamon breed Abyssinian chromosome C2, whole genome shotgun sequence.